UCAGAGGUGAAAUCCUACAGCUCAACUGUAGAACUGCCUUUGAUACUGAUAGACUUGAGUUAUUGUGAAGUGAUUAGAAUGUGUGGUGUAGCGGUGAAAUGCAUAGAUAUCACACAGAAUACCGAUUGCGAAGGCAGAUCACUAACAAUAUACUGACGCUCAUGGACGAAAGCGUGGGGAGCGAACAGGAUUAGAUACCCUGGUAGUCCACGCCGUAAACGAUGGAUACUAGCUGUUCGUCUAAUAUUGGUUAGAUGAGUGGCUAAGCGAAAGUGAUAAGUCUCCCACCUGGGGAGUACGGUCGCGAGACUGAAACUCAAAUGAAUUGACGG
rnacentral:rRNA from 1 species